rfam:Bacteroides sp. CAG:709 genomic scaffold, scf17
GGGGAUGUUCUGGUUUUGACAGCAUUGAUGUCGGGUGGUAAGCACGUCGAGCGUAUGGUACGUUUGCUCGUUAAUCUCAGCGGCCGUAAAUUCAGUUGCUAACAACAACUAUGCACUCGCUGCGUAAUCAACUAGGUUGAUCACCUUAAUCGGGCCGCCAAGGUUGCGGCUCUGACGAGUAUCCCGCAGACUUUAAGCCGGUUAUGUUCUGGUCACGGGGUAUCAUUCAAACCGGAUGCACGGAGGGACUCCUUUAAACUCCGCCAAGAUUUAAAGGAUAAGCUCAGGUUAGCCCGCCAUCCGGCAGGCCCGGGCCGACAAUCAAAGGACGGAUAAACGUGUAGAAAGCUAUCUGGUGCGAUGUUUGGACGGCGGUUCGACUCCGCCCAUCUCCACUG